rnacentral:rRNA from 1 species
GUCUAUUGCCAUGCCACCCUGAACAAGCCCGAUCCCGUCUGAUCUCGGAAGCUAAGCAGGGCCGGGCCUGGUUAAUACUUGGAUUUGAGACCACCUAGGAAGACUGGAUGCUGUAGGUG